GAUGAACGCUGGCGGCGUGCCUAAUACAUGCAAGUCGAGCGAACGGACGAGAAGCUUGCUUCUCUGAUGUUAGCGGCGGACGGGUGAGUAACACGUGGAUAACCUACCUAUAAGACUGGGAUAACUUCGGGAAACCGGAGCUAAUACCGGAUGAUAUUUCGAACCGCAUGGUGCAAAAGUGAAAGACGGUCUUGCUGUCACUUAUAGAUGGAUCCGCGCUGCAUUAGCUAGUUGGUAAGGUAACGGCUUACCAAGGCAACGAUGCAUAGCCGACCUGAGAGGCGGAUCGGCCACACUGGAACUGGGACACGGUCCAGGCUCCUGCGGGAGGCAGCAGUAGGGAAUCUGCCGCAGUGGGCGGAAGCCUGACGGAGCGACGCCGCGUGAGUGAUGGAGGUCUUCGGAUCGUGAAACUCGGUUAUUAGGGAAGAACAUAUGUGUAAGUAACUGUACACAUCUUGACGGUACCUAAUCAGGAAGCCACGGCUAACUACGUG
rnacentral:rRNA from 1 species